rnacentral:rRNA from 1 species
UACAGAGGGUGCUAGCGUUGUUCGGAAUCAUUGGGCGUAAAGGGCGUGUAGGCGGUUUGUUAAGUCAUGUGUGAAAUCCCUCGGCUCAACCGGGGAACGACGCAUGAAACUGGCAAGCUAGAGUACCAAAGAGGGUAGUGGAAUUCCCGGUGUAGCGGUGAAAUGCGUAGAUAUCGGGAGGAACAUCAGUGGCGAAGGCGGCUACCUGGCCCAAUACUGACACUCAGGUGCGACAGCGUGGGGAGCAAACAGG